rnacentral:rRNA from 1 species
CUGCUGCCUCCCGUAGGAGUCUGGGCCGUGUCUCAGUCCCAGUGUGGCCGUCCACCCUCUCAGGCCGGCUGCUGAUCGUCGCUUUGGUGGGGCCGUUACCCCCGCCAACUGGCUAAUCAGACGCGGGCCCAUCCUGUACCACCGGAGUUUUCAAAGGAUUACCAUGCGGUAUUCCCUAUUAUGCGGUAUUAGCACCUAUUUCUAAGUGUUAUCCCCCGGUACAGGGCAGGUUGCCCACGCGUUACUCACCCGUCCGCCACUAAGACAG